rnacentral:tRNA from 1 species
GCCCGAGUGAUGGAAUUGGCAGACAUAUCGGACUUAAAAUCCGAAGCCGGGAAACUGGCGUGUGGGUUCGAGUCCCACCUCGGGCA